GCAGGUGUAGCCUAGUUGGUAAGACGCUGGCCUUGAGAGCCAGUGCGCGAAAGCGCUCGGGGGUUCGAGUCCCUCCACCUGCG
rnacentral:tRNA from 1 species